CAUGAGAACUCCUUAAUUAUUGUGAAAAAUCUAAGUAUUCGAAAAUAUCGGCUUAUCAAUGAAUUAUCAAUGAAAUGCUUUUUAGGGAUUACAACUUUCAACCUCUCCCCCGACCAUUUUAAUAUACGCCUAAAAACUCGUACAGUUAAAUUGCGGAAACAAAAUGAAUGAGCGUAACGGCAACAAGUCGGCCGUGAGAAAUGUCGACUUAUGUGACAGAGCUCACAGGCGUUUUUAGUUUGUUCCGUUGAAUUCUGACAGUUAACUUUGAAAUAAUGUUAUAAAAUUGAAAUCCAUAACAACACGGCACGCGUGUACGUUUAUUAUGCACUUAAUAAAACACUAUCUGGGUACGAUAAGAUAAC